rnacentral:rRNA from 1 species
UACGGAAGGCAGCAGUGGGGAAUAUUGCACAAUGGGCGCAAGCCUGAUGCAGCCAUGCCGCGUGUAUGAAAAAGGCCUUCGGGUUGUAAAGUACUUUCAGUCGUGAGGAAGGUGUUAAGGUUAAUAACCUUAGCAAUUGACGUUAGCGACAGAAGAAGCACCGGCUAACUCCGUGCCAGCAGCCGCGGUAAUACGGAGGGUGCGAGCGUUAAUCGGAAUUACUGGGCGUAAAGGGCACGCAGGCGGUUAAUUAAGUUGGAUGUGAAAUCCCCGGGCUUAACCUGGGAAUGGCAUUCAAGACUGGUUAGCUAGAGUCUUGUAGAGGGGGUUAGAAGUUCCAUGUGUAGCGGUGAAAUGCGUAGAGAUGUGGAGGAAUACCGGUGGCGAAGGCGGCCCCUGGACAAAGGCUGACGCUCGAUGUGCGAAAGCGUGGGGACGCGAAACAGGGAUUAGACUAC